UAGGGAAUCUUCCGCAAUGGACGAAAGUCUGACGGAGCAACGCCGCGUGAGUGAAGAAGGAUUUCGGUUCGUAAAACUCUGUUGUUAGAGAAGAACAGCGCAUAGAGUAACUGUUAUGCGUGUGACGGUAUCUAACCAGAAAGCCACGGCUAACUACGUGCCAGCAGCCGCGGUAAUACGUAGGUGGCAAGCGUUGUCCGGAUUUAUUGGGCGUAAAGCGAGCGCAGGCGGUCAAUUAAGUCUGAUGUGAAAGCCCCCGGCUCAACCGGGGAGGGUCAUUGGAAACUGGUUGACUUGAGUGCAGAAGAGGAGAGUGGAAUUCCAUGUGUAGCGGUGAAAUGCGUAGAUAUAUGGAGGAACACCAGUGGCGAAGGCGACUCUCUGGUCUGUAACUGACGCUGAGGCUCGAAAGCGUGGGUAGCAAACAGGAUUAGAUACCCUGGUAGUCCACGCCGUAAACGAUGAGUGCUAAGUGUUGGAGGGUUUCCGCCCUUCAGUGCUGCAGUUAACGCAUUAAGCACUCCGCCUGGGGAGUACGACCGCAAGGUUG
rnacentral:rRNA from 1 species